GGGGAUGUAGCUCAGUGGUAGAGCGCAUGCUUUGCAUGCAUGAGGUCCCGGGUUCGAUCCCCGGCAUUUCCA
rnacentral:tRNA from 1 species